rnacentral:rRNA from 1 species
AGAGUUUGAUCCUGGCUCAGGAUGAACGCUGGUGGCGUGCCUAACACAUGCAAGUCGAGCGAGAAUUUGUGGAAUUUGGACUUCGGUUCAAAUGAAAUGAAGGAAAGCGGCGGACGGGUGAGUAACGCGUGGGUAACCUGCCCCAUACAAUGGGAUAGCCACUGGAAACGGUGAUUAAUACCAUAUGAAGCUUCAUGGCCGCAUGGCUGAGAAGUUAAAGAUUUAUCGGUAUGGGAUGGACCCGCGUCUGAUUAGCUAGUUGGUGAGGUAACGGCUCACCAAGGCGACGAUCAGUAGCCGACCUGAGAAGGUGAUCGGCCACACUGGAACUGAGACACGGACCAGACUCCUACGGGAGGCAGCAGUGAGGAAUAUUGGUCAAUGGACGCAAGUCUGAACCAGCCAUGCCGCGUGCAGGAUGACGGCCCUAUGGGUUGUAAACUGCUUUUCUACGGGAAGAACCCCCCUGACGUGUCAGGGACUGACGGUACCGUAGGAAUAAGCAUCGGCUAACUCCGUGCCAGCAGCCGCGGUAAUACGGAGGAUGCAAGCGUUAUCCGGAUUUAUUGGGUUUAAAGGGUGCGUAGGCGGACUAAUAAGUCAGUGGUGAAAUCCCCCGGCUCAACCAGGGAACUGCCAUUGAUACUGUUAGUCUAGAGUACAGUUGAAGUGGGCGGAAUGUAGCAUGUAGCGGUGAAAUGC